rnacentral:rRNA from 1 species
AGCGCGGGGCAACCUGGCGGCGAGUGGCGAACGGGUGAGUAAUAUAUCGGAACGUACCCUGGAGUGGGGGAUAACGUAGCGAAAGUUACGCUAAUACCGCAUACGAUCCAAGGAUGAAAGCAGGGGACCGCAAGGCCUUGUGCUCCUGGAGCGGCCGAUAUCUGAUUAGCUAGUUGGCGGGGUAAAAGCCCACCAAGGCAACGAUCAGUAGCUGGUCUGAGAGGACGACCAGCCACACUGGAACUGAGACACGGUCCAGACUCCUACGGGAGGCAGCAGUGGGGAAUUUUGGACAAUGGGCGCAAGCCUGAUCCAGCAAUGCCGCGUGAGUGAAGAAGGCCUUCGGGUUGUAAAGCUCUUUUGUCAGGGAAGAAACGGUGGGGGCUAAUAUCCCCUGCUAAUGACGGUACCGGCAGAAGAAGCACCGGCUAACUACGUGCCAGCAGCCGCGGUAAUACGUAGGGUGCGAGCGUUAAUCGGAAUUACUGGGCGUAAAGCGUGCGCAGGCGGAUUGUUAAGCAAGACGUGAAAUCCCCGGGCUUAACCUGGGAAUGGCGUUUUGAACUGGCAGUCUAGAGUGCGUCAGAGGGGGGUGGAAUUCCACGUGUAGCAGUGAAAUGCGUAGAGAUGUGGAGGAACACCGAUGGCGAAGGCAGCCCCCUGGGAUGACACUGACGCUCAUGUACGAAAGCGUGGGUAGCAAACAGGAUUAGAUACCCUGGUAGUCCACGCCCUAAACGAUGUCAACUGGUUGUUGGGGGAGUGAAAUCCCUUAGUAACGAAGCUAACGCGUG